GUGUUCGCUUCGGCAGCACAUAUACUAAAAUUGGAACGAUACAGAGAAGAUUAACAUGGACCCUACACAAGGAUGACACGCAAAUUCAUGAAGCGUUCCAUAUUUUU
rnacentral:snRNA from 1 species